rnacentral:rRNA from 1 species
GCUCGCGAGAGUAAGCUAAUCUCUUAAAGCCGUUCUCAGUUCGGACUGUAGGCUGCAACUCGCCUACACGAAGUCGGAAUCGCUAGUAAUCGCGGAUCAGCAUGCCGCGGUGAAUACGUUCCCGGGCCUUGUACACACCGCCCGUCACACCAUGAGAGUUGGGAAUACCCGAAGCCUGUGAGCUAACUAAUAGAGGCAGCAGUCGAAGGUAGAAUCAAUGAUUGGGGUGAAGUCGUAACAAGGUACC